rnacentral:rRNA from 1 species
UACGUAGGGUGCGAGCGUUAAUCGGAAUUACUGGGCGUAAAGCGUGCGCAGGCGGUUGUGUAAGACAGGUGUGAAAUCCCCGGGCUUAACCUGGGAACUGCGCUUGUGACUGCACGGCUAGAGUACGGCAGAGGGGGAUGGAAUUCCGCGUGUAGCAGUGAAAUGCGUAGAUAUGCGGAGGAACACCGAUGGCGAAGGCAAUCCCCUGGGCCGGCACUGACGCUCAUGCACGAAAGCGUGGGGAGCAAACAGG